rnacentral:rRNA from 1 species
GACGAACGCUGGCGGCGUGCUUAACACAUGCAAGUCGAGCGGAAAGGCCCUGCUUUUGUGGGGUGCUCGAGUGGCGAACGGGUGAGUAACACGUGAGUAACCUGCCCUUGACUUUGGGAUAACUUCAGGAAACUGGGGCUAAUACCGGAUAGGAGCUCCUGCUGCAUGGUGGGGGUUGGAAAGUUUCGGCGGUUGGGGAUGGACUCGCGGCUUAUCAGCUUGUUGGUGGGGUAGUGGCUUACCAAGGCUUUGACGGGUAGCCGGCCUGAGAGGGUGACCGGCCACAUUGGGACUGAGAUACGGCCCAGACUCCUACGGGAGGCAGCAGUGGGGAAUAUUGCACAAUGGGCGGAAGCCUGAUGCAGCAACGCCGCGUGCGGGAUGACGGCCUUCGGAUUGUAAACCGCUUUCGCCUGUGACGAAGCGUGAGUGACGGUAAUGGGUAAAGAAGCACCGGCUAACUACGUG